UACGUAGGGGGCAAGCGUUGUCCGGAAUCAUUGGGCGUAAAGAGCGUGUAGGCGGCUCGGUAAGUCCGCUGUGAAAGUCCAGGGCUCAACCCUGGAAUGCCGGUGGAAACUGUCGAGCUAGAGUCCGGAAGAGGCGAGUGGAAUUCCUGGUGUAGCGGUGAAAUGCGCAGAUAUCAGGAGGAACACCGAUGGCGAAGGCAGCUCGCUGGGACGGUACUGACGCUGAGACGCGAAAGCGUGGGGAGCAAACAGG
rnacentral:rRNA from 1 species